UACGGGGGGGGCAAGCGUUGUUCGGAAUUACUGGGCGUAAAGGGCUCGUAGGCGGCCAACUAAGUCCGACGUGAAAUCCCAAGGCUUAACCUUGGAACUGCGUCGGAUACUGGAUGGCUUGAAUUCGGGAGAGGGAUGCAGAAUUCCAGGUGUAGCGGUGAAAUGCGUAGAUAUCUGGAGGAACACCGGUGGCGAAGGCGGCAUCCUGGACCGGUACUGACGCUGAGGCGCGAAAGCUAGGGUAGCAAACAGG
rnacentral:rRNA from 1 species